rnacentral:rRNA from 1 species
GACGACGCUGGGCGGCGUGCCUAACACAUGCAAGUCGAGCGGAGGUAUUCAAGGAGCAAUCUGCGGAUACUUUAGCGGCGGACGGGUGAGUAACGCGUGAGCAACCUGCCUUUCACAGGGGGAUAAGGCGGCGAAAGCCGCUCUAAUACCGCAUGAGACCCCGGUGGUGAUACCACAGUGGUCAAAGGAGCAAUCCGGUGAGAGAUGGGCUCGCGUCCGAUUAGGUAGUUGGUGGGGUAAAGGCUCACCAAGCCAAUGAUCGGUAGCCGGCCUGAGAGGGUGAACGGCCACAUUGGAACUGAGAGACGGUCCAAACUCCUACGGGAGGCAGCAGUGGGGAAUAUUGGGCAAUGGGGGAAACCCUGACCCAGCAACGCCGCGUGAGGGAAGAAGGUUUUCGGAUUGUAAACCUCUGUUCUUGGGGAAGAGCAGAAGACGGUACCCAAGGAGGAAGCCCCGGCUAACUACGUG